GAUCUCUUAGCACAGUGGGAGUGCGUCGCAUUCCAGAGUCGGGCUCGUAUCGCGAAGGUCGUCCGUUCAAUCCGGGCAGAGGUCA